ACAAAACAAGCGAUGUGGAGGCAAACCCCUAAAAAAUAGGUCUCAGUUCAGAUUGCAGGCUGCAACCCGCCUGCAUGAAGUCGGAAUUGCUAGUAAUCGCGGAUCAGCAUGCCGCGGUGAAUACGUUCCCGGGCCUUGUACACACCGCCCGUCACACCAUGAGAGUUGGAGAUACCCGAAGCCUAUGAGCUAACUUUUAGAGGCAGUAGUCGAAGGUAGAAUCAAUGAUUGGGGUGAAGUCGUAACAAGGUACC
rnacentral:rRNA from 1 species